AAAAAGGGGAGCUUGUAUUCAGGCUGAGAGGAAGGCGAUCGAGCCUUCGACCCUGAACCUGAUUUGGAUAAUGCCAACGUAGGGACAUUCAUA
rnacentral:ncRNA from 1 species